UGGGGAAUAUUGGACAAUGGGCGAAAGCCUGAUCCAGCCAUGCCGCGUGUGUGAAGAAGGUCUUCGGAUUGUAAAGCACUUUAAGUUGGGAGGAAGGGCAGUAAGCGAAUACCUUGCUGUUUUGACGUUACCGACAGAAUAAGCACCGGCUAACUCUGUGCCAGCAGCCGCGGUAAUACAGAGGGUGCAAGCGUUAAUCGGAUUUACUGGGCGUAAAGCGUGCGUAGGCGGCUGAUUAAGUCGGAUGUGAAAUCCCUGAGCUUAACUUAGGAAUUGCAUUCGAUACUGGUCAGCUAGAGUAUGGGAGAGGAUGGUAGAAUUCCAGGUGUAGCGGUGAAAUGCGUAGAUAUAGGAAGGAACACCAGUGGCGAAGGCGACCACCUGGGCUCAUACUGACACUGAGGUGCGAAAGCGUGGGGAGCAAACAGG
rnacentral:rRNA from 1 species